UUAGACCAGAUGAUACCAGCCCU
rnacentral:miRNA from 1 species